rnacentral:snoRNA from 12 species
AGCUUAAUGAUGAGUAUCUUGUUGAUGCUUAAAGCAAUGUGAAAAAAGACAUUUCACCGGCUCUGAAAGCU